CUUGCUUCCCCUCUCCAUCUGCCUCUGAAACACAAAACACACCCUGCGCUGCCCCCAUGCUUACCUAGUGUGAGCACUUGAGUGUGACAAACCCCAGAUUUUGCCUUCCAGGAUAUAUUUGGCAACCUCUGGAAAUGUCCUUGGUGUCACAACUUUGGUUGGGCAGCUCCUCGCACACAGUGGGCCGGCAGAAGUGAAAGAGCCUGCAGAACCCCUGAAAUGCGCCCAGCAAACCCCGACAAUAAAGAAUCUCAUUGCCCCAAAUGGCAGCAGUACCAAAGAUGUCUCCUAUGUGAAAGCCUCAACCCUGGGAGAGUUCUUAACUGGGCGGGAUGAAGGCAAAUCCAAUGAGCCGGUCCUUCCAGAAGGCAUCAGAUAGAACAAAAGCAUCAUUCGUUCAGAAUAGGAGCCAUUGUGUUUUCUCUGUUACCAGUACCUGCACUGGGGAAUAGCGGCUUGAAAGAAUAUUUCAAGACCACAACCAACUGAGGAGUAGGACAUGACACCGAGAAUUCCAGGCAGCAUCACUCCAAUGGUUAAUGUGAUGUAUCUUCUUGACUGGGUCAGGUGUUUGUGUGGAUGUUUCUGGAUGACACUGACUUUUGAACACACGCUGGUGAAAUCAGCGCUGCCUUAGCCACCCCCCAAGCCAAUGCCUCCCCUCUGUUCCUUGCUUCCCUCUCAUAAUUACUCUUGUCUUUUUCCUCUUUCCAUUCCUCCCAGUCUUCUUCCACUUC